rnacentral:rRNA from 1 species
AUUGAACGCUAGCGGCAGGCCUUACACAUGCAAGUCGAACGAGUGGCGGACGGGUGAGUAAUAUCUGGGAAACUGCCUGAUGGAGGGGGAUAACUACUGGAAACGGUAGCUAAUACCGCAUACCAUCGGAUGUGCCGAGAUGGGAUUAGCUUGUUGGUGGGGUAAAGGCUCACCAAGGCAACGAUCCAUAGCUGGUCUGAGAGGAUGACCAGCCACACUGGCACUGAGAAACGGACCAGACUCCUACGGGAGGCAGCAGUGGGGAAUAUUGGACAAUGGGCGAAAGCCUGAUGCAGCCAUGCCGCGUGUAUGAAGAAGGCCUUCGGGUUGUAAAGUACUUUUAGCAGGGAGGCGUUACCUGCAGAAUAAGCACAGGCUAACUCCGUGCCAGCAGCCGCGGUAAUUC